UUUAAUUAUUUAUUAAUGGCAAGGAUUAAUUAAUAUGUUAAUUAAUCAAACGAAUAAGUUCGUUAAAGACCUCAGGAUAGUUUUUGGACCUUAAGGCCCAAUGGGCUUCGAACGUCAAGCCCAUUGACUUAAGUUGUAUGACAACUUAAUGACUAAAUAUUCACAAAUGCCCAAACAACCCAAACACACCCUAAGGCCGGCCAUAUUGUUAAGGGUAGUGAACUUGGACUUAUUUACAAGUUUUCCACUCAAAUGAAUAAAGGUAUAAAUAUGACUUUAUAGCCAAAAUUCAUUUAAGGGUUUGUUUUUGAGAAAAUUGGAGAGAACAUGUCUCUCCAUUUCUCUCUAAAGAGGCCGGCCC
rnacentral:lncRNA from 1 species